rnacentral:rRNA from 1 species
UACGUAGGGGCGAGCGUUGUCCGGAUUUACUGGGCGUAAAGGGUGAGUAGGCGGUUAUGUAUGUCAGAUGUAAAAGGCACAGGCUUAACUUGUGUUAGCAUUUGAAACUGCAUGACUUGAGUGCAGGAGAGGUAAGCGGAAUUCCUAGUGUAGCGGUGAAAUGCGUAGAUAUUAGGAGGAACACCGGUGGCGAAGGCGGCUUACUGGACUGUAACUGACGCUGAGUCACGAAAGCGUGGGUAGCAAACAGGAUUAGAUACCCGGGUAGUUCCU